rnacentral:rRNA from 1 species
AUUGAACGCUGGCGGCAGGCCUAACACAUGCAAGUCGAGCGGAUGAGAGGAGCUUGCUCUUCGAUUCAGCGGCGGACGGGUGAGUAAUGCCUAGGAAUCUGCCUAGUAGUGGGGGACAACGUUUCGAAAGGAACGCUAAUACCGCAUACGUCCUGCGGGAGAAAGUGGGGGAUCUUCGGACCUCACGCUAUUAGAUGAGCCUAGGUCGGAUUAGCUAGUUGGUAGGGUAACGGCCUACCAAGGCGACAAUCCGUAACUGGUCUGAGAGGAUGCUCAGUCACACUGGAACUGAGACACGGCCCAGACUCCUACGGGAGGCAGCAGUGGGGAAUAUUGGACAAUGGGCGAAAGCCUGAUCCAGCCAUGCCGCGUGUGUGAAGAAGGCCCUCGGGUCGUAAAGCACUUUAAGUUGGGAGGAAGGGCUUACAGCGAAUACCUGUGAGUUUUGACGUUACCGACAGAAUAAGCACCGGCUAACUUCGUGCCAGCAGCCGCCGUAA